ACAGAGGGUGCGAGCGUUAAUCGGAAUUACUGGGCGUAAAGGGUACGUAGGUUGUUUCUCAAGUUAGGUGUGAAAUCCCUGGGCUUAACCUAGGAAUUGCGCUUAAGACUGAGAAGCUAGAGUAUUGUAGAGGGAAGUGGAAUUUCCGGAGUAGCGGUGAAAUGCGUAGAUAUCGGAAGGAACAUCAGGGGCGAAGGCGGCUUUCUGGACAAAUACUGACACUGAGGUACGAAAGCGUGGGUAGCAAACAGG
rnacentral:rRNA from 1 species